rnacentral:misc_RNA from 1 species
UCCGGUUUGGCACCGGCAGUCUCAUUAGAGUGCCCAACUGAAUGUAGCAACUAAUGACAAGGGUUGCGCUCGUUGCGGGACUUAACCCAACAUCUCACGACACGAGCUGACGACAGCCAUGCAGCACCUGUGUUACGGCUCCCUUUCGGGCACCCCCGCAUCUCUGCGGGGUUCCGUACAAGUCAAGGGUAGGUAAGGUUUUUCGCGUUGCAUCGAAUUAAACCACAUGCUCCACCGCUUGUGCGGGCCCCCGUCAAUUCCUUUGAGUUUCAGCCUUGCGGCCGUACUCCCCAGGCGGGAGACUUAACGCGUUAGCUUCGUUACCAAGGAAUUGCUUCCCCGACAACCAGUUGACAUAGUUUAGGGCGUGGACUAC